GAGAAGUCAGGCCAGAUUAAGCCAUAGUACGGAAAGAGCUAUGCUGCCUGUGAGCCCCGUCCAAGGACGUAAAAUGAAGUCAGGCCGAAAGCCACGGAUUGAGCAA
rnacentral:lncRNA from 1 species